rnacentral:rRNA from 1 species
ACGGAGGGUGCAAGCGUUAUCCGGAUUUAUUGGGUUUAAAGGGUCCGUAGGCGGACGAUUAAGUCAGCGGUGAAAGCCCACAGCUCAACUGUGGAACUGCCAUUGAUACUGGUUGUCUUGGGUACGGUUGAUGUUGGCGGAAUAAGUCAUGUAGCGGUGAAAUGCAUAGAUAUGACUUGGAACCCCGAUUGCGAAGGCAGCCAACAAAGCCGAAACUGACGCUGAGGGACGAAAGCGUGGGUAGCGAACAGGAUUAGAUACCCUGGUAGUCCACGCUGUAAACGAUGAUUACUCGGUAUUGGCGCAAGUCAGUGCCCAAGCGAAAGUGAUAAGUAAUCCACCUGGGGAGUACGGCCGCAAGGUUG